rnacentral:tRNA from 1 species
ACACUGAUGGUGAAACGGUAUAUGCUUGCCUUCCAUGUCUGACUAGGUUAGGUUGUCAGCAAGCGGCGCGGGUUCGACUCCCGCUCAGUGUA